rnacentral:pre_miRNA from 1 species
AAAGUAACGUGUAGCCAAGGACAACUUGCCGAUCAUGAUUGUUACUUUUGCUUCUUGGUUUUAUCUUGUAUAUAUUUAAAUAUUUAAUACGGCAUAAUAUAUCUAUAUAUCGUACUUUCUUCCUGAAUCCUUGAAGAACCAAAGAAAUUUGAAACCUAAAAUGUCUUAAUAGAGUAUAAAGAAAGACCAUUUAAAUCGGCAAGUCAUCCUUGGCUGCACACUACUUUCG